CUACGGGUGGCUGCAGUGGGGAAUAUUGGACAAUGGGCGCAAGCCUGAUCCAGCCAUUCCGCGUGAGUGAAGAAGGCCUUCGGGUUGUAAAGCUCUUUCGCAAGGGAAGAAAACUUAUCCUCUAACAUAGGGUGAGGUUGACGGUACCUUGAUAAGAAGCACCGGCUAACUACGUGCCAGCAGCCGCGGUAAUACGUAGGGUGCGAGCGUUAAUCGGAAUUACUGGGCGUAAAGCGUGCGCAGGCGGUUUUGUAAGUCAGAUGUGAAAUCCCCGAGCUCAACUUGGGAACUGCGUUUGAAACUACAAGACUAGAAUAUGUCAGAGGGGGGUAGAAUUCCAUGUGUAGCAGUGAAAUGCGUAGAGAUGUGGAGGAAUACCAAUGGCGAAGGCAGCCCCCUGGGAUAAUAUUGACGCUCAUGCACGAAAGCGUGGGGAGCAAACAGGAUUAGAUACCCGAGUAGUC
rnacentral:rRNA from 1 species